AUGUAAGUAACUUUUCACUUUUUUGGUUCAUUCAAUAAAUAAUGCAUGUAGUCCAUAAUAUAGACCACAUACAUCAAUUAUUGAAUGAACUAAAAAGUGAAAAGUUGCUUACAU
rfam:Medicago truncatula strain A17 chromosome 6, whole genome shotgun sequence.